GGAAACUGAAAACUUAUAAACUAGCAAACAAGAUCCACAACACACCAAUGUCCACAUUAUGCACCUCCUGCACCAGGGCUCUGUACUGGUCAGCCUAGGACAUUCUAUAUAGGAAAAGUGAAAUGUUAUGGCCCACCUAAAAUCAUUCCAUGCAGUAAAGGUACUAAGCCCUAACCAACAGCAGCUCGAUCAAACAACAGAUAAAUAACCAAAAGCGGUUCGAUA